UGAUGUCCUUCCUAUUGAACAUCGCCGGC
rnacentral:sRNA from 1 species